rnacentral:tRNA from 1 species
GCGGGCGUGAUGGAAUGGUAGACAUAACGGACUUAAAAUCCGUGGGCCCUAGGCCGUGGGAGUUCAAGUCUCCCCGCCCGCACCA